GGAAAGCAGCAGCUCGUAUGAGCUGCUCUGUCACACAGAAAUAAUUAACGAUUGAGUAAUAACUCGAUGUUAAUUACCGGUGUUGUCGAUUCCCUCUCAACCCCGGGGGUCCCGCGGGUCGGGACAGUUCGGAAACUCAGUCCAAAUCCGCCCGAACCCUCAGAUUCGCCGAUUUUUUUCCACUAGAUUUUUUUUCUUUUUCCCUCUUGUGGGUCUGCUCCGCUCUACACUUCCGGUACCGAUACAUUGAUUUCCGGUCUUUGGGGUCCUGUACAGAACUCUUCAAAUGUAUAUGAUCAUAUAUUAUAUGAUUAUUUAGUUUAAUUUAUGACGAUAUGGAAUUUACUGUUGGUAGCCUUCCACUAUCAAUGAUGGCUAAUACAGGUAUGCCACAGUACAGGCGAAGACACUGGUCCCCAAACUGGAAUCCCGGUCCAGUUUCCAACAAGGUGCAAGAAAAAAAGAUAUGCUCCCCCAUCAGAUAUUGUUCCCCCACUAUAUUGUAGCGAACAGAGGGGGCGGGUGCACCCUGGUCUCCGGCGUGAAUACCCUGGUCUCCGCAUUGCGUCAAUAGGUUUAACCCACUUGGUGGGAAAUGUAAUGUGGCUCAUAUGGCGAGGAUUGCUACACUGCCCUCUCCGAACUGGAAGCCACGUCCCCUUAAUUCGACUAGACUCAGCCCCCUCAUGUCCCGGACUAUGUUACGAUGACCCAACGGCCACCAUCCCACUUCUGACACCAAUGUAGCGAACGGAAAGAGCAGGAAACAAACCCUGGUCUCUGGCAUGAAAGUCAAACACCCUAAGCAUCGCCCCAAUAUGGUUAACCCACUUGGUGGAAAUUGUACCAUGGCUCAUAUAGCGAGGAUCGCUACAAUAUACUGUUCUCUAUCGGAUACUGCUUUCCCAUCAUAUAGGCCUACUGUUGUUCUCCCAUCAUGGCCAUAAUUGACAUUGCUGCCUGUGAAAUGAACAACAGCUGAACAUGAUGGCCUUUUAACCUGCUUAAUUCCUGCUGAGACAUUACCACGCACCAGGCAACCCUAAAUAGCCUGGGAUACAUGGGUCCAAGUCAGCAAAAUAUCACUAAACCCAUCCAAAUGCAAAACCACCUUCACCAAAAGACCUCAACCCAUAAUAACCUUAUUGAGUAGGGAAUACGUGCCCCAGGUCACCCACCCAAGGACCAACCCUGCUUAGCUUCUGAGGCAACCCAGCAGGUGGGAUGGCAUGGCUGCUGGCAAGCUAUGGGAAACCAACUCCAAAAAAAAAUCCUCUGAUGGCUCAAAAGACUAGGAGUUUCCAGGGAGGAUCUCACCAAUACUACUCUGGGUGCAUCCACCCGACACAGUGCGUAUGCAACCCAAACAGUACAUAUGCAGCCCCAGCUGGUCUUUUAUCCCUGUUAUAGCUCCCUAACAACAGCUCUAACAGAAUGUGAUAGGAAGUGAAAAGUUGUUAUUGGGUAUACAGGUGUCGUAAACAAUAGUAGCCUAUCUGAUGGGGGAACAUAAAUGGGUGAACAGUAUUUGCUAGGGAACAGUAUAUGAUGAGAGAACAAUGUAUUUUAGGUCCAGUAGGUUUUGAUGAAUGUGAAAAUUGAUAGUAUUAAUGUAUUUUAUCCAUAACAUAAUAGUCAUAAUCAUAAUAAUUAAUUCCCCCCCCAAAAAGUUUGCCAAUGUGUUGUGGAAAUAUUGUGGGUAAAAAAGCUAGAUUUUAAUGAGUUCAAACAGAUAAUGAAAACUGGUUUACAUAAUAAUUCAAAUGUAGAUUAGAAAGUGAUUGUGUGAAUCCAUCUUUGUUUUUGUUUUCUCUCAAUUCCUUCUUGACUGUAUCUGACCGAAGUUCCAUAUUCAUUUAGCUCAUAUGUCCAUAUUUAACUGAAUAUUGUUAUUUUAUAGAGCCAUGCUGAUGAUUCAGAGCUAUAUUUCUAUUUUAUAUUCGAUAUCAGAAUACAUUUCAUUGAUCCAACGACUGACCUGAUCAAUGGAUUUUCUGUAUUGGGAAUGGAAUUGGCAGAAAAUUGCCCAUCCCCUAAACGACUAUCAUUUACGUUGGAUUGGGUAGUAAAGCAAAAAGAAUGCGGGAUUGUGUUUCCUUCAACGGGAUGUUCUAAAGUCAACCAAUUACAUCGGACGGUGUGAAUUCAAAUGGGUGUGGUGUCUGCAGCGAAACCAGUGUGAACGCGCGGAUUGGUACAUACAAAUGCAAGUCAUGAAUAAAGAGAACACCUCCCGCCUACCAGUCAUGUCUGGUAAAAAAGUCCUCCUCUAGCAACAGCAGUGAAAGCAUGAACUCUGACCAACAACCUGUUCAGCAGCUGUUGGAGGGGGGGUUCACGGCUGCCUGCAUGGGACCUCAAAGGAAAACGUUAGUGACACGGAGGGCAAGAUUUCCAACUACCAGAGUAAAGUCAAAACGGUGGCCCAGGAGAACUAGUCUGAAGGAGUCUGUAGCUAAAAGCAGACAGACGGAAGCACAGAUGACUUCAGAGCUACAAGAACUCCACACUCAGCUCGGGUACAUGGAGCAGUACCACGGAGCAGUACCAUGGAGCAUGCAUAGGGUAGACCAUUAUGUGAAAAUGGGUGUAGUGGCAUGGGAAAGGGCAUUGUAACCACAUAGGAAAGAGUGACUUAUUUUGCAUAAGGAAGUUCAGAGGUAAGAGCCACUAUGAGCAGGAGCUGGCUACCCUGUCUGGCGUCAAAGAGCAGCUGACCAUUGUAGCCAGUGAGAAGGCCUCCCUGGAGAAGACCUUAUGCAACCUCACUGAGGAGCACAGCGUUCUUCUAGGCUUGAGAAAGAGCAUGGAGGCCGAGCUUCACAAUGUGCAGGUCGAGCAUCAUCUUCGGUGGAUUUUUAUGGCAGACAACAACCCAAAAAGACCCAGCUCUCUGCAGGGCUCCACUCUUUCCCGUUGCCAGACCACCCUGAGGGAGACCCAGGACAUGGUCCGCAACCUGGAGGAGAGACUGUGAUGUUUGGGCCCUCCACACGGCAACAGGAUGUGUUUGAGGAGAUUUCCCUCCUGGUGCAGUCAGCCCUGGACGGCUACAACGUCUGCUGCUUCGCUUACAGACAGUGGCAAAACCUACACCAUGGAGGGGGGGCGAGAUGGAGGACAUGCGUGAGGUCAUCCCCGGUCCGUGCAGCAGAUAUUCCAGGCCUCCAAGAAAUUGCGGGAGCAGGGAUGGCAGGUCUGCAACCUGAUCGCACUGGCCAACCAGAAUCGAUCCACAGCCCGGACCAACAUGAAUGACCACUCCUCGCACUCGGUGUUCCAGCUCGACAUUGAGGGCGAGAACUCUGGGAGAGACGUCACGUGCAAAUGUAAGCGUGUUCACUGGUGGUCUACGUUUUGUACAUCUGCAACUACACAAAGGCUGAGAUCUUAAAUGAGAACAAAUAAUAAUCCUGUCAUCAAAUGUUAUUUGUCACAUGUGCGAAUACAACAGAGUGAAAUGUUUACUUACAAGCCCUUAACCAACAAUGCAGUUUUAAGAAAGAAAAAAAGAUUAAAUAUAACAUCAUGAUUGAUUGCAUUCUGGUAUGAGAAUCCUGACUGUUUCUGUGUCUGUCUGGAGCCUCUCUGUGUUUGGACCUGGCUGGCAGUGAGCAGGUGCAGAAGAGCCAAUCCCAAGGGUACCACUUCAGUGAGAUGACAGCCAUCAACUGCUCCUUGACCAACCUUGGGAUUGUUAUCGCCGCGCUGACCAAUAAGGAGAGCUUUAUCCCGUACAGAAACUCAAAAGCUGACGUAACUCCUCCAAAGCUGCCUCGGAGGAUUGAGUGUGGUUGUCUGUACAUUGUGAUUUUUAAACUCAUGCCCUUGUAUUGGUUGCUUCAUUUCAUAUUAUUCAUUUUUAAUCAAUUGGAUCCGAUGUACAAAGAUCAAUAAAAGCUAAU